GCGCCCGUAGCUCAGCCUGGAUAGAGCGUUGCCCUGCGGAGGCAAAGGUCGCAGGUUCAAAUCCUGCCGGGCGCGCCA
rnacentral:tRNA from 6 species